UUGUGCCAGCAGCCGCGGUAAUACGAAGGGGGCUAGCGUUGCUCGGAAUCACUGGGCGUAAAGGGCGCGUAGGCGGCCAUUUAAGUCGGGGGUGAAAGCCUGUGGCUCAACCACAGAAUUGCCUUCGAUACUGGGUGGCUUGAGUCCGGAAGAGGUUGGUGGAACUGCGAGUGUAGAGGUGAAAUUCGUAGAUAUUCGCAAGAACACCGGUGGCGAAGGCGGCCGACUGGUCCGGAACUGACGCUGAGGCGCGAAAGCGUGGGGAGCAAACAGGAUUAGA
rnacentral:rRNA from 1 species